CGACUGUUCUCGUGAGCCCAUGCAGAAGGCCACUGUAUUCUCAAGGGAUGGCAAAAGGUACACUGGACGCUGCUGUCAAUUUUUGUGACUUCUGAGAGUCUGCAGGAAGGUAUGGUAUAGGUUCAGAGCCAAAGUAUAUGGCUAUCUAUUCUUAGACAGCUGUCUCAGUUAAACUACUUUGACUGAAGAGCUCCACAGUCUGACUCCCAUAGCAUGUUCAGGGAUGGCCCGGCAAUAGCAUUAGUGCCCAUGUUCAUGAACAGCAGAAGUGAACAGCCCAAGAGCAAGGUAAGAUCCAGCAUUCUUUAUAUAACAACUCAUAUUUUAGAAAUUUACAGUCAGAAACAUAUAUGUGAUACAAGCAUAUAGUCACAUAUGUGAAUACAGAGCUGUAGUUCUCCAGAUAUAACUAUAUAAGUAACUAGUGAAAUUUCAUUCAUAAUGUGUUUGAAGCAAUAUGAUUUGACUCUGCUCCAUCAAAUCAAAGAUGCUAUAUGAAGUAGAAGUUGAUAUAUUUUUUUUCAAGAUAGGCAAAUAGUACUAAAUAUUGUUAGCAUGCUAACCUACUUUGCUAGGAAAGUUUAUAUUCAAGUGUGCAAGAGCUACAGAUACAUGAGCUGGUAAAAAUGUAAUGUUGCAUGCUUCAUAAUAAAUUGUAAUUAUGUUUCAAUAGUCUUUUCUCAUAUUAACAUAAGAAUUUGCAUUUCUUUGAUCAUUAUAAGAUAAUGUUUAUUUCUAUGUUCACGAAAAUUGCAUAAAUAUUAGAUGAACAUGAAACUUGGAAAAUGAAAACCAACAUUUUUUUUUAUCUUCUAAUUGUGAAGUGAUCCUGAUUAAAUUAAUGUAAUUUUUGCUUGAGAUUACUCAAAAUGCUGCAAGAAAAUCCUGUUGUGCUUCUAAGGGAGAAAGAAUGUUAAGAAGUGCAGCUUGUUCUUCUCUACAGUCUAAACAAAAUUUUUCCUAGUUAUUGCUGCUGGAGACAACAAAUCUUAACCAUUACAGGAAUAAAUCAAUGAAUAUAUAGAUACCAAUUUAUGCUUAACUUAUCUUGUUGUAAUCUGUUUUAAAUGUUUCUCCUUCAGUGUUAAGUGCUCUGUUACAGAAGAGGACCUUAUUUUAGAGUUAGUAAAAGAAAUUUUAUUCAUUCAGAUCUAUGUACAUAUUUAAAUACAUAUUACUCAAGUCUUAAUCACAAAUAUGUUUGAAUGGACAUAUACCCCAUAAAACAAUCAUACAUACCAUUUUCUUUUGUUAUAACAUGGAAGGCUAGACAGAUAUAAACACUUGGGUAUACUGAUUGGAUGCUACAUUGGCCCAGAGAGACUGCUUUCUGUUAGUGUUAUGUUCUAUUAGGGAAUAAAGCAGUGUGAAACCUGCUUGUAAUAAUUUAUAGAAACACGGGUUAAUUCAGAACAAGGAUAUCCUAGUGACUAUAUUCAAAGACAAAGAGAGAAAGUAGAGCUGUGUCUGGAGUUCUGUUGUUGUUGCUGUUUUCUUGUGUCUGAAUUUGUCAUUUUUAGAUGGGUCUACUUAAAAGAAAAUAAAAAUAAUAAGCAUUUCCAUAUUUAGUCUGACAGAACUUGUGUUGUAUAUUAGGAGACAGUCUACACAGAUACAUCUCAUAUUCGGACUAACUACAGGUCUCUUCAAAGUCAUUAUGACACACCAAUUGAAAGCCUGCUUUCGGAUGGAGACAAAGCUACCUUUUGUCACAGUGGAGCACUAAAAAUUUUUACUAUUUAAACUCUUUCUUCAUGUAUAUUUGUGCAAGAACAAGUUAGUUCCCCAUAUCUUCUCUAUUCUUUUUGAAGUGAUUAAUGUCUCAGCAAUUUCUAGAAUAAUGCAUGUUCUCUGUUCUUUCAUGAGACAAACGUUUAAAGGCUGUUAUAAUAUUUGUCCUUUGCAUUAGAUGUAUAAUUAGCAGAAAAAAAGUUUUACACUAUUUCUAUACUGGUACAUGAGCAUCCAGAGUUGUGUCAGAGGUAUUAUAGCUUAUAAAAUAACACAUUUUAAGAGUUUGAUUUUGCAAAAAAUAAAAAUAAAAUAUAUCUAUUACUGUUAACUUGAAGAAAAGAAUAAAAAAGAUGUUCCAUACAUCAUUCUAUCUUCUCAUUCAGUUUGAAGUUCAACUGGGAAAAGAAUUCCCUUACGUACAAAGGGUAUCUGGGACAUGGAGGCCCAAAUGUAGCCUAUGACUUUUCUUGGUUAUAUUAUUAAUUUUGUAUUUGUUCAACAUUCUUUCUAACAUAUGUAUCGUUUUCAAUAGGAAAUUAGUCAAACAAUAUUGUUUCAGAGUUUUUAAUCCUAAAAGUUUUCUUUUCUGACAUUAAAGUUAGAAUUAAGUGUUCUAGGAGCUUUCUAGUAGAGAAUAUCAAAAUCAUUUUCUGAAGUUGAUAUAUAAUGUUACGUUGGAUAUACGAUCAGCUUCUUAUUUUAAUCAUAAAAUCAUAGAAUAAUAGAAUGGCUUUGGUCGGAGAGGACCUCAAAGAUCAUCUAGUUCCAACCUCUUUGCCAGUGGGCAGGAUUGCCAUCCACCAGAUCAGGCUGCCCAGGACUCAUCCAACCUGGCCUUGAAUGCUUCCAGAGAUGGGACAACCAAAGACUUUAACGGCAACCUGUUCCAGUGCCUCAACAUUCUCUGAGUAAAAAAUUUCUUCCUACUAUCUAACCUAAAUCUUUCCUCUUUAAGCUUCAAGCCAUUUCCCCUUGUCCUCUUACUAUUAGAUCCUGUAAAAAGUUGAUCCCCACUCCUGUAAGCUCUCUUCAAGUAUUGGAAGGCUGCAACAAGUUCUCUCUAGAGUCUUCUCUUCUCCAAGCUAAACAAGCCGAAGUCCUUCAAUCUUUCUUUAUAGGAGAUGUGCUCCAGCCCUUUGAUCAAUUUCAUGGCCCUCAGUAGUGGAUCACUUAAAUGGUAACUCAAUUCUGUACAUCUUGUUCACACAUUAGGUCCACCUUGCUGUGCACAAACACAGAUUAGAAUAUAAGAGGGUAAUUAUGUUCUAUGUCCAAGGCCAUUCUAUCUCCAAAGCAUGUAAUACUAUAAAGUAUUCUGUAUACAAAAGAUCUGUUUAUCUUAAAAUGAAAACAAUUCAAAUUUUGUUGUUUCUGAUGAAAACUGAGAUGCAUUGCUACCUGUUAUGUGAGACCAAUUCUUCCCAAAACAUCAUUAUCUUUCUCUUCUCAGCCUUCUAUACAUUAAUAAUAACUAAACUUAGAAUGGCACACAUCCAUACUUAAAUUACAAACAAUUACAAAGGAAGUUUGUGCAAUGUAUCUAUUCCUAUUAAUUUUCUAUGCUAUUGAAAGGGUGUUGGUAGUGUUGGUGUGACAGGACUUUCCACAGAUACCAGUUUGUAAUAUGUAAGCAGUUCUCUUUCAUAUUUUCUACAGUAAACUUUGACUUGGCCUUGUAACAGCAAAGAGUAGUUACAACACUCAAGUUAUCAUUUUAUCUCAAAACUUUGGGUUUAUACUGUUCAGUGCUUUUUAGGUUACUAGAUAGCAGUUUUGUAUGGUUGUAGGUGAAAAAAAAAUCACUCCUCUUUUAUGCAGUUGUGGUAUGAAUGGCAUGGUGUCAUAGAAGAUAUAGGAUCAGGCUACAGUAAAAAUCUUAAAAUACUUAAUCACACCAUUCUCAAGAGAAAUUAUGCAGCAGUGAAUUGAAUUAAAUUUUAAGUGUGACAGAAAUUACUCCCAACAAAAAGUAAUGCUCAGGUAUUAAACACAUUUCAUUUCAGUAACCCCAAAUACUGCCCUAGUCAUUAUAAAAAUGACAUUUAAAUACAUUAAAUAAAAGUCUAUCUUCUAAAUUAUCUGUUCUAUCUAACUGUAACCAAUAGUAACAAAAUAUUUUACAUACAAUGAAAGAAUCCUGAAGCAAGUGAUUGCAAGAAAAUUUCUCAUACAUAAAUAUAUGAUCUUAAUCUUGCAUAUUUAAAGACAGAUUUAAAGUGUGAAUCACAAGUUUUUAUCAGGCUUCCAGAGCAUUUGAAGAUAUUAAACACUAGAAUCUGAUGUAGUUACUGUCAGAAUAUACAACUAACUUAUCUACCUAGGCACAAAGAGUACCCUUGCAAAGUUGAUGUUACCUUGUUUCCAACCAUGACAUGAAGAAGUUAAGGAAAGAAAUUCCCCUCAGAACUCUAUGGAAACCUUUUAUUUGACACACCGUGAUCAUCAGUGCAAACUUCUUCCACAGUUUGCAGUUUCUAGUAUCUGUAGAGCUAAAUAAUGAUUCUUUUUUUCUUGUCAAUAUCAUCCUUUAAACUAGAAUGAAUGUCUUUCAUGUACUCAGCGCACAACUACAUGAAAGAUAUUCUAAAGUUCUGGAGUUCCUCAUUAGAAAGGGUAUUCAUUCUAUCUGCUUUAGUAUUAGAAAAUGAGGGCCCAUUCCAUACACUGGAAUGUUUGACUGUAUUUGCUGUAUGAAUAUCUCAAAAUGAUGAAUGCCAAUUAAUGAUUUCUCCAUCAGCUUCUUCUACCUUUUAGUCAUUCCCAUAACUACAGAAGUAUUGUUUACAGCAAGUCAAGAAUAUAAAGUUGUGAGAAACUAAGAUGACAGACAGGAUAUAAAAAAUAUGAAUAGAAUAGGUUGAUACCAAUUCCAGAUGGGCAGGGAAGAAAGAGGUGUCCGUGGUCCACUAAAUUUUCAGUGAACUGGUUAUCAGUCUCUGUGAUCCUAUGUGAUGGCACAAUGAAGAUUAAGCAUACAAAGUUUAAUGCCUUCUAAAAUCCAGUGUAUCUUCUCAGGAGGGUAAAAAGUUUUCCAAACCGGUUUCACGCACAUGCAGAACAAUGUCAACUCUGUGUAUUGAGAUACAUAAAUACCUGGGUGUGCAAGCAAAGCAAAGUCAGGAAUUCAUUCUUUGCUUCACACUUGCAGAUAAAUGUUCAGCCAUUUUCAGGAAAACAGGGUUUCAU
ensembl:lncRNA